GCAGGGGAUCUUGCGCAAUGGGCGAAAGCCUGACGCAGCGACGCCGCGUGGGGGAAGAAGGCCUUCGGGUUGUAAACCCCUUUUCUUAGGGACGAGGAAGGACGGUACCUGAGGAAUAAGCCCCGGCUAACUACGUGCCAGCAGCCGCGGUAAGACGUAGGGGGCGAGCGUUGUCCGGAUUUACUGGGCGUAAAGGGCGCGUAGGCGGUGUAGUAUGUCCCGGGUGAAAGCCCCUGGCUUAACUGGGGGAGAGCCUGGGAAACGGCUGCGCUAGAGGACGGCAGAGGCGAGUGGAAUUCCCGGUGUAGUGGUGAUAUGCGUAGAGAUCGGGAGGAACACCCGUGGCGAAGGCGGCUCGCUGGGCCGUACCUGACGCUAAGGCGCGAAAGCGUGGGGAGCGAACCGG
rnacentral:rRNA from 1 species